GGGCCUUGUACACACCGCCCGUCACACCAUGAGAGUUUGUAACACCCGAAGCCGGUGGCGUAACCCUUUUAGGGAGCGAGCCGUCUAAGGUGGGACAAAUGAUUAGGGUGAAGUCGUAACAAGGUAGCCGUAGGAGAACCUGCGGCUGGAUCACCUCCUUUCUAAGGAA
rnacentral:rRNA from 1 species